AGGCGACGUAGCUCAGCUGGUUAGAGCGCGGAACUCAUAAUUCCGAGGUCGGUGGUUCAAGUCCACCCGUCUCUACCA
rnacentral:tRNA from 1 species